AACAAAACAGAAUGACCACUACAGUUUCCUCCCCUUGAAUUUGCAAGUAGACCCGUCCGAACGCUUUUACAUCCAAGGGUGAUGUUUCGUGUACAUACAACCCCUAAUUGAGACUGAGGAACAAUCUCACAAGGAAGCGUAGUUGGUUACGUUUAAUCAAAAUUGAAAUGUUCCGGAAACAGCGGAUCAUGUGGGAAGCUUCGGAUGUGGUUACACCGAUUGCACACAAUAGGAGGAUAAAUGUUGGACCUAAUAGUUGACAAUUUAUGGUCGAAAAACAGACUGACCGGUCAUAGUUAA